UUAGAGUGUAGGGGCGGCAGGUAGCCUAGUAGUUAGAGUGUAGGGGCAGCAGGUAGCCUAGUAGUUAGGGUGUAGGGGCGGCAGGUAGCCUAGUGGUUAGAGUGUAGGGGCGGCAGGUAGCCUAGUGGUUAGAGUGUAGGGGCGGCAGGUAGCCUAGUGGUGAGAGUGUAGGGGCGGCAGGUAGCCUAGUGGUUAGAGUGUAGGGGCGGCAGGUAGCCUAGUGGUUAGAGUGUAGGGGCGGCAGGUAGCCUAGUGGUUAGAGUGUAGGGGCGGCAGGUAGCCUAGUGGUUAGAGUGUAGGGGCGGCAGGUAGCCUAGUGGUUAGAGUGUAGGGGCAGCAGGUAGCCUAGUGGUUAGAGUGUAGGGGCGGCAGGUAGCCUAGUGGUUAGAGUGUAGGGGCGGCAGGUAGCCUAGUGGUUAGAGUGUAGGGGCGGCAGGUAGCCUAGUGGUUAGAGUGUAGGGGCGGCAGGUAGCCUAGUGGUUAGAGUGUAGGGGCGGUAGGUAGCCUAGUGGUUAGAGUGUAGGGGCGGCAGGUAGCCUAGUGGUUAGAGUGUAGGGGCGGCAGGUAGCCUAGUGGUUAGAGUGUAGGGGCGGCAGGUAGCCUAGUGGUUAGAGUGUAGGGGCGGUAGGUAGCCUAGUGGUUAGAGUGUAGGGGCGGCAGGUAGCCUAGUGGUUAGAGUGUAGGGGCGGCAGGUAGCCUAGUGGUUAGAGUGUAGGGGCGGCAGGUAGCCUAGUGGUUAGAGUGUAGGGGCGGCAGGUAGCCUAGUGGUUAGAGUGUAGGGGCGGCAGGUAGCCUAGUGGUUAGAGUGUAGGGGCGGUAGGUAGCCUAGUGGUUAGAGUGUAGGGGCGGCAGGUAGUCUAGUGGUUAGAGUGUAGGGGCGGCAGGUAGCCUAGUGGUUAGAGUGUAGGGGCGGUAGGUAGCCUAGUGGUUAGAGUGUAGGGGCGGUAGGUAGCCUAGUGGUUAGAGUGUAGGGGCGGUAGGUAGCCUAGUGGUUAGAGUGUAGGGGCGGCAGGUAGCCUAGUGGUUAGAGUGUAGGGGCGGCAGGUAGCCUAGUGGUUAGAGUGUAGGGGCGGCAGGUAGCCUAGUGGUUAGAGUGUAGGGGCGGCAGGUAGCCUAGUGGUUAUAGUGUAGGGGCGGCAGGUAGCCUAGUGGUGAGAGCGUUGGGCCACUAACCGUAAAGGUUGCUAGAUCGAAUAGCUGACAAGGUAAAAAUCUGUUGUCCUGCUCCUGAACAAGGCAGUUCAACCCACUGUUCCUAGACCACCGUCAUUGUAAAUAAUAAUUUGUUCUUAAAUAAAGCUUCAAUAAUCAACAGACACAACAAGCCUUUAUUUAUCUGGACACAUUCUCUGUUGACCGCCAAGCCCAACACAGUCUUUCAUUUGUGUAGGUUGUAAUGUUCUCUAUCAACAGAACGUACAAGAGUGAUUUUAACAGAGGACCACCAGACGAAACAGAGAUACAAAAGAAAAGUCUAUGUUUGUCAGAUGUCAGACAGAAAGAGAAAAGUCUAUGUUUAUCUUUGUCAGAUGUCAGACUGAAAGAGAAAAGUCUAUGUUUAUCUUUGUCAGACUGAAAAAGAAAAGUCUAUGUUUAUGUUUGUCAGACUGAAAGAGAAAAGUCUAUGUUUAUCAGAUGUCAGACUGAAAGAGAAAAGUCUAUGUUUAUCAGAUGUCAGACUGAAAGAGAAAAGUCUAUGUUUAUCUUUGCAGAUGUCAGACUGAAAGAGAAAAGUCUAUGUUUAUCUUUGUCAGAUGUCAGACUGAAAGAGAAAAGUCUAUGUUUAUCUUUGUCAGAUGUCAGACUGAAAAAGAAAAGUCUGUGUUUAUCUUUGUCAGAUGUCAGACUGAAAGAGAAAAGUCUAUGUUUAUCUUUGCAGAUGUCAGACUGCGGUAUGUUGCCCCAAACA